rnacentral:sRNA from 2 species
AUGGACCACGCGUCCACUGCGGUUCUGAGCGCUGCGUCCGCACCCACCUGACGACUGCUCGCUACGUUUUGUUGCC